rnacentral:rRNA from 1 species
UGUGUAGGCGGUCGUAUUAGUCUUUUGUUAAAGUUUUCGGGCUUAACCCGAAAAAUGCAGAGGAAACGGUACGACUUAGAGGGCGCGAGAGGUAGAGGGAACUCAUGGUGAAGGGGUGAAAUCCGUUGAUAUCAUGGGGAACACCAAAUGCGAAGGCACUCUACUGGCGCGCUCCUGACGCUGAAACACGAAAGCUACGGGAUAGAACG